rnacentral:rRNA from 1 species
AACGAACGCUGGCGGCAUGCCUAACACAUGCAAGUCGAACGAGACCUUCGGGUCUAGUGGCGCACGGGUGCGUAACGCGUGGGAACCUGCCCUUAGGUUCGGAAUAAAUCUCCGAAAGGGGUGCUAAUACCGGAUAAUGUCUUCGGACCAAAGAUUUAUCGCCUUUGGAUGGGCCCGCGUUGGAUUAGCUAGUUGGUAGGGUAAAAGCCUACCAAGGCGACGAUCCAUAGCUGGUCUGAGAGGAUGAUCAGCCACACUGGGACUGAGACACGGCCCAGACUCCUACGGGAGGCAGCAGUGGGGAAUAUUGGACAAUGGGCGAAAGCCUGAUCCAGCAAUGCCGCGUGAGUGAUGAAGGCCUUAGGGUUGUAAAGCUCUUUUACCCGGGAUGAUAAUGACAGUACCGGGAGAAUAAGCUCCGGCUAACUCCGUG